CCCUCUUCCUUAGGAAUCUCUGGUCUUUGUGAGACUGAUUUUGGCUCUCAGUGGAUGAAUGGAGAUCUCAACUUGCAUGUAAAGAGGGAAGGGAAAUGUGAAGGGAGUUACUUAUGUGAUCUUAAGGCAUGGCUCCACCCUGCACAAGUCCCACUAUGUCCCCUCAGUGCUCGUUCUUUCUUACAGGCUCCGUCAGACCUGCUUGCUGUGAACUGCUCCCGUGCAAUAGCAGUGGGAACUCCAGACGUGUUCAAAGAUGAUGUGUCACAAAGACCGUGUUCCCCCCAUGUACAGGAACCCCUACCAUGAGUCAGUCAGCUGCAGAACUUGGGAGAGGCUCAUCAUGCUGAAAUUGGCAUCAGUGCCUCUCAAUGGACUAUCACACUAAAAAUAGACCCAUCUCCUUUUUUCCAUGUCUGGGCUGAGGUCUAAAUCAUUCCCAGAGUCUGAGUUUGAGGGAAGUCCUUUAGCAGGAAGAAGGUGCAGAAAAGUUUUCUAACACUGUUUGCAGACCUGCCAGCAGGGAGUGGGAGAGACCUGUCUGAAUUUGAAGAGCAGCGUUAACUGAAGUCAAACAGGACCAGACCAAGCCUGUUACUUCAUCUCUGCUUGGCUGGAAAUGUCACUGUGGUCUGAUUGUGCUCCUGGAAAUAUCAGACAUGGCUUUAUAUAGGAGGAUGCUGGAUCCAGAGGCAAUGAUUUGUGAGUUGAUCCUACUACUUGUGGGAUGAAUUCCCUUUGGAGUCUACUGCUUGCUCUGCACUCUGAAGGACAGGCAUAUGUGAAGGGAACAGUGAUGUAAAUGUUCUGGAGUUAACUCUGGAUAAUGUUGUUUUCAUGUCCAAAUUUCCAUAUAAUCCCUGCAA